rnacentral:rRNA from 1 species
AAGGCCUUAUCUUCUCUGCUACUUCUUGUGGGGUGGGAACUUUGAAAGGAACGGAAUGCACGCGUCUUCAGAAGCAAGGCGGCGCCGGUGGCGAUCAUACGGAUCAUCAAGGAAGAAAUGUCUAUUUGGGCUAUUGCCGGUGCCAAGAAUUUGAGCAAUGUAAUGCCGCGAGAGUAA